rnacentral:rRNA from 1 species
AUGAACGCUAGCUACAGGCUUAACACAUGCAAGUCGAGGGGCAGCAUGGUCUUAGCUUGCUAAGGCCGAUGGCGACCGGCGCACGGGUGAGUAACACGUAUCCAACCUGCCGUCUACUCUUGGACAGCCUUCUGAAAGGAAGAUUAAUACAAGAUGGCAUCAUGAGUCCGCAUGUUCACAUGAUUAAAGGUAUUCCGGUAGACGAUGGGGAUGCGUUCCAUUAGAUAGUAGGCGGGGUAACGGCCCACCUAGUCUUCGAUGGGUAGGGGUUCUGAGAGGAAGGUCCCCCACAUUGGAACUGAGACACGGUCCAAACUCCUACGGGAGGCAGCAGUGAGGAAUAUUGGUCAAUGGGCGAGAGCCUGAACCAGCCAAGUAGCGUGAAGGAUGACUGCCCUAUGGGUUGUAAACUUCUUUUAUAAAGGAAUAAAGUCGGGUAUGGAUACCCGUUUGCAUGUACUUUAUGAAUAAGGAUCGGCUAACUCCGUGCCAGCAGCCGCGGUAAUACGGAGGAUCCGAGCGUUAUCCGGAUUUAUUGGGUUUAAAGGGAGCGUAGAUGGAUGUUUAAGUCAGUUGUGAAAGUUUGCGGCUCAACCGUAAAAUUGCAGUUGAUACUGGAUAUCUUGAGUGCAGUUGAGGCAGGCGGAAUUCGUGGUGUAGCGGUGAAAUGCUUAGAUAUCACGAAGAACUCCGAUUGCGAAGGCAGCCUGCUAAGCUGCAACUGACAUUGAGGCUCGAAAGUGUGGGUAUCAAACAGGAUUAGAUACCCUGGUAGUCCACACAGUAAACGAUGAAUACUCGCUGUUUGCGAUAUACAGCAAGCGGCCAAGCGAAAGCGUUAAGUAUUCCACCUGGGGAGUACGCCGGCAACGGUGAAACUCAAAGGAAUUGACGGGGGCCCGCACAAGCGGAGGAACAUGUGGUUUAAUUCGAUGAUACGCGAGGAACCUUACCCGGGCUUAAAUUGCAGAUGAAUUACGGUGAAAGCCGUAAGCCGCAAGGCAUCUGUGAAGGUGCUGCAUGGUUGUCGUCAGCUCGUGCCGUGAGGUGUCGGCUUAAGUGCCAUAACGAGCGCAACCCUUGUUGUCAGUUACUAACAGGUUCCGCUGAGGACUCUGACAAGACUGCCAUCGUAAGAUGUGAGGAAGGUGGGGAUGACGUCAAAUCAGCACGGCCCUUACGUCCGGGGCUACACACGUGUUACAAUGGGGGGUACAGAGGGCCGCUACCACGCGAGUGGAUGCCAAUCCCCAAAACCUCUCUCAGUUCGGACUGGAGUCUGCAACCCGACUCCACGAAGCUGGAUUCGCUAGUAAUCGCGCAUCAGCCACGGCGCGGUGAAUACGUUCCCGGGCCUUGUACACACCGCCCGUCAAGCCAUGGGAGCCGGGGGUACCUGAAGUGCGUAACCGCGAGGAGCGCCCUAGGGUAAAACUGGUGACUGGGGCU